UAACACAUGCAAGUCGAUUCGAUUUACCUUCGGGUAUUGAGGAUGGCGGACGGGUGAGUAACGCGUAAGGAACUUGCCUCUUGGUCUGGGACAACUGUUGGAAACGACAGCUAAUACCGGAUAUUAUGAGAUUCUCGCAUGGGAAACUUAUGAAAGCUAUAUGCGCCAAGAGAGAGCCUUGCGUUCCAUUAGCUAGUUGGUGGGGUAACGGCCCACCAAGGCGACGAUGGAUAGCCGGCCUGAGAGGGUGAACGGCCACAAGGGGACUGAGACACGGCCCUUACUCCUACGGGAGGCAGCAGUGGGGAAUAUUGGACAAUGGGCCACAAGCCUGAUCCAGCAAUUCUGUGUGCACGAUGAAGGUCUUCGGAUUGUAAAGUGCUUUCAGUUGGGAAGAAGAAAGUGACGGUACCAACAGAAGAAGCGACGGCUAAAUACGUGCCAGCAGCCGCGGUAAUACGUAUGUCGCAAGCGUUAUCCGGAUUUAUUGGGCGUAAAGCGCGUCUAGGCGGAAAAAUAAGUCUGAUGUUAAAAUGCGGGGCUCAACUCCGUAUUGCGUUGGAAACUGUUUUUCUAGAGUACUGGAGAGGUGGGCGGAACUACAAGUGUAGAGGUGAAAUUCGUAGAUAUUUGUAGGAAUGCCGAUGGAGAAGUCAGCUCACUGGACAGAUACUGACGCUAAAGCGCGAAAGCGUGGGGAG
rnacentral:rRNA from 1 species